rnacentral:lncRNA from 1 species
UUUUUUUUGGUAGUCAGAUGUUGAUCCACUUUCACUUUCUUUUCUUUUGGGAGACAUGUUUUACCUACAAAUAACAAAAAAAUAAAAAUUACAUUACAAUUGAUGUAUGCAUAAAUUUUAAAAAAUACAUUACAAACACCACCAAUACCGACACACCAACAACCACCACCACCACAAACACCACUAACCAAUGCCACAAAUACCACGAAUAUCGACAGCUACCACAAAUAACAACAACCAAUGCCACCACAAACACCACCAACUAAUUCCACCAACGACCACCACCAAUGCCACCACAACGACCACCAACACCAUAAACAACAUCCAACAAUACAACGAUAGUCAAUGGAACACUACGACAGAAACUAGGAUUUUCUCAAGUUCUUUCUAUGAUUUUACCAUCAAAACUCAAAAUUGUAAACCCAUUCUCGAAGAUAAUGCAAGUAAAAGUUUUUUUUCAUCAUUAACUUAAAAGCCCUUAUUUCUUACAAAAAUAACAAAUAUAGAACUCUUUCCGAACUUUGUUACCUACGAAGACAGAGAAAACAACUAUUACAAGCAAGAAUGAAGUCAAAAAUAAUACCUAUGUGGUCAGAAAUAAGAAGAAAAUAAAUAUGUUAUGAAGGGUUGAGCAAUUUGUUGAGUAGUUGUUGCCUGUACUGUAUAAUUGAGUGAGAAAGAGAAAAGAGCGAGAACUCGAGAUUUCAAAUGAUGAAAUAUUUUUUGCAAAUGGAUGAGUUAUAUGGGUUGAUUUGUAUUUUGGAAAAGAAUGAUAAGUUUUGAAAAUGUUAAUUUGGUACGAACUAAUCUUAAUUAUUUUUUAAAAUCAUAAAAGAUAUGCGUAAUUUUUAACCCUCUCAUCAUGCAAUUGCCAAAAGACUCAAUCAAAGUUGUAGUUGACCCUAUAAACUCACCGCUGGUCUUAAAUUAAUCAAUUUAGGUAUCAGACUCUAACAAAUGAACUCAAUUAAAAUUAUAAAAACAAAUAUUCAACCUGUUGCAUCAGAUUAUGCAUUUACUGUAAAUUAUCAAUCAGAUUAAGUCAUUUGUUGUAACAGAUUAUGCAUCUGUUGUAAAUGAUCAAAUAGAUUAAGUUAUCUGUUGUGACAGAUUACCCAUCUAUUGUAAAUUAUCAAAUAGGCGCUCCCAUCUGUCGCAGUUGACCCUAUGACAACUCAUCCCCAGUCCUAGAUUAAUUGAUUAAGGUAUUAGUUGAACAUAUGAGGUAAUAAGAAUCGGUUUAUCUCAGAGUAAUCGAUCGAUGACUCUGGUUGGGAGGAACACAAUACCGUCUUAUCAUGUAAUUGCCAAAAGACUCAAUCAAAGUUGUAGUUAAUCCUAUAAGAACUCACUCCUGGUCCUAGAUUAAUAAAUUAAGGUAUUAGUCUAACAUAUGAACUUAAUUGAAAUUGUAUAAGAAUAAAUGUUUAACCUGUUGCAAUAGAUUAACCAUCUGUUGUAAAUUAUCAAUCUGAUUAAGUCAUUUGUUGCAGCAGAUUAAGCAUCUAUUAUAAAUAAUCAAACAGAUUAAGUCAUCUUUUGCGAUAGAUUACCCAUCUGUUGUAAAUUAUCAAAUGGAUUGUCAUAUGUCACAACAGAUUAUCCAUCUAUUAUAAAUUAUCAAAUAGGCACCACCAUCUGUUCUAUUUGACCCUAUGAGAACUCACCCCUGGUCAUAGAUUAAUCAAUUAAGGUAUUAGUUGAAAAAAUGAGGUAGUAAGAAUUGAUUCAGCUCAGAGUGAUCGAUGGACGACUUUGGUCGGAAGAAACACAAUACUUUCUCAUCAUGCAAUUGCCAAAAGACUUAAUUGAAGUUUAAGUUGACCCUAUGAGAACUCACUCAUGGUCCUAGAUUAACUAAUUAAGGUAUUAUUUGAACAUAUAAGGUAGUAAAAAUUGGUUCAGCUCAGAGUGAUCGAUCGACAACUCUGGUGAGGAGGAACACAAUACCGUCUCAUCAUGUAAUUGCUAAAAGACUCAAUUGAAGUUGUAGUUGACCCUAUGAGAACUCACCCUUGGUCCUAGAUUAAUCAAUUAAGGUAUUAGUCUAACAUAUAAGGUAAUAAGAAUUGAUUCAGCUCAAAGUGAUUGAUCGAUGACUCUGGUCGGGAGGAACGCAAUAUCGUCUCAUUAUACAAUUUCCAAAAGACUCAACUAAAGUUGUAGUUGACCAUAUGAGAACUCACCCCUAGUCCUAGAUUAAUCAAUUAAGGUAUUAGUCUAACAUAUUAACAUAAUUGAAAUUGUAUAAAAAUAAAUGUUCAACCUGUUAUAAUAAAUUAACCAUCUGUUGUAAAGUAUCAAACAGAUUAAGUCAUUUGUUAGAACAGAUUAAGCAUCUGUUGUAAAUAAUCAAACAUAUUAAGUUAUCUGUUGCGACAGAUUACCCAUCUGUUGUAAAUUGUCAAAUGGAUUAAGUCAUAUGUCACAAAAAAUUACCUAUUUGUUGAAAACUAUCAAAUAGGUGUUGCCAUCUGUUGUAGUUGACCCUAUGAGAACUCACCCCUAGUACUAGAAUAAUCAAUUAAGGUAUUAGUUAAACAUAUGAGGUAGUAAGAAUCGGUUCAGCUCAAUGACGACUCUGGUCAGGAGGAACGUAAUAACAUAUCAUCAUGCAAUUGCCAAGAGACUCAAUUGAAGUUGUAGUUAACCCUAUAAGAACUCACCCCUAGUCCUAGAUUAAUCAAUUAAGGUAUUAGUCUAAUAUAUGAACUCAAUUGAAAUUGUAUAAAAAUAAAUGUUCAACCUGUUGCAACAGAUGUCUUUUCUGUUGGAUUUAAUCAAACAGAUUAAGUCAUCUGUUGCAACAUAUUACGCAUCUAUUAUAAAUUAUAAAACAGUUGUUGCAUCUGUUGCGAUAUAUGACCGAGCUUUGGAAAUUUUCAAACAGAAAUUGUCAUCAAUUGCACUUAAAUGUUUUAAGACCCUUUUUUUAAAAGCAAUUUAGAUAUUUACUGUCCGAGAUGAAAAAGUUAAAAUACUAAGGCGGUAAGAAAUAUUACAUGGAUAACUUAAAAAUAUCCUGAGUGAGUAGUCUUAUCUGGUUUUUUCAAUGUCACCGUCUCCUCGUACCCCUCAAAAGUUAUUAAUGAAUAUUUAAAACCCAUAUCUAGAAGAAUACUCUCUCCUUCAUCCAUAAAGUAAGACUCAACUCAUCUAUCACUCUUCUUUAUUCUCAAUUCUCUUUCUUUUCUUUUUUCUCUCUUUUCUCUCUUCUUUCGGAUGAGGAUCCUUUAGGAUCUCAAUAGAUCAAUAUCUUUUCUCGACUGAACUGGAUGUUCUAAUCCCUUUGCUUUUUUCACAUUACAGGUAUGGUUAACUGUUGCUCUUUUUAUCUUGUCUUCUUUUUUCUAUGUCAUUAAAAUUAGAUAUUUACAUUUGUUGCUAUUAAUGAUCUACCCAUUACCAGUUUUCUAUUUACUGAGAAAAUUAAAGGAAAAGCGGCUUUUAAGUAUUGAACGAAUGAACCAUUGUUUUUAUUAAAAUAUGCAAAAAAAGUCAUCUAUUGGGAGAACUUAAAAAGCCUCGUUGUCAGUAUAGUUUGAUGAAUCAGCUGUUGGAACAAACAGAGCAACUAUUUGAAGAAAUCAAACCAGUAGCAAGGUUGGUUUUAUUUAUUCCAACUGAUGAACCAUCUAUUGCAACAUGUCUUCCAUUUGUUGCAACAAUGCCUCAUCGGUUGAACAGAUAGGUAAUCUGUUGUAUCAGAUUGGUCAUCUGUUGAUUCACUUAAUUUUGUUUUACCCAUUUAUAAUGUUCUUUUUGUUCUUCUAUUGUUUGACAUCAAAUGUAUUUCUCUUAUUUGCAGAUAAAAAGAAGUGAAACUGGAUCCACUUUUGCCUGACCAGCAUUAAAGGCUAGAGUAAAGAUGGGUUCGGAGGAAUAAGCUGCUUGCAGAUGGAACCACUUCAUAUGUGGUAGGUAUGUAUUACUGAUCAGCCUAUCAUGAAAACACACAUCCAGUACAAUGAUUUUGUGAAUGUUUGUUCUUUACUUAUUAGGCGUUAAUCCUUUAAACAAGAUAUGGCAUUUUACAGUUAAGAUUGCUAGGUUCGAAUAGGUAAGGCUGAGGGACCAAGUUGGUAGUGUCGAUACCCUGUUAUAAUUUAAUAACUGUUUAUGCUCAUGUUUUUAUAUCAAGUUUGGGGAAGGGUUUAAGUUUUUGGCGGCAGUGUAAAUAUUCAAUAGUGAUUGGACCAGUUUUAAUGGCUCAAUUGACUUCUUGGAAGGCCACUGAAGCCUCGUACUGCAGCAAACAAUGAUGGAACCAAGAGAAAUUCUCCUGGUCCAAACUUAUAUGGAUGAGUUAUUGGAGGAGACUAUUAGACAGCAGUAGGAGCUUGGGAGAAUACUUGUACAGGAAGGGGGAGGUUGAGAAGGCCAUAUAUCAUCUCAGACCUUGUUUAAGAGAAAACACAGGGUAGGAAGGAAAGUGUAGCAAAAUUGGCUGAUGAAAUUGACAUGAAAAAUGAACAAAAUGGAUGAGCUGUGAAUGUGAAAGUGUAUCCAAAAAUGAAAAUCCAUCAGUCAUUAAAGAAAAAUAAGAAUGGUCAAGAGGAAUGGAACUGGUCACUUUAGAGACUACAACUAGCAAGCGUGGCCUCAAUGAAAACCCAUAAAAUGUAGGAUCGAAACUCUAAGGAAAGAAAAGAGCUUCGCCAGCACAGAAAGUGGUAAAAUUGUCGGUCAGAAUUAAAAUCUAAAACAACUAAUCCUAAAUUAAAAAUACAGGAUCAAGCCAAGGUGGCAAUUUCUUAAGUUAAACUUGCAUACCAUGCCUCCUAUUUAUGGCUCUAGUCAGGUCAAAGGCAAUGGAAACAAAAAGGCAUGGGAUUUUUGCCCAACUUUAGAACUUUUUGUUUCUACUGCCAUUGACCUUAUCAAAGCCACAAACAGAAGGCAUGGCAUGCAAGUUAGACUUUAGAAACUGAUGCCUUGGCUUUCCUUAUUUUUAAUUCAGGAGUUGUUGGUUCAGGUUUUAAUUCUGACCUACAAUCGUACCAAUUUCCUGUGCUCGCGGAGCUUCUUCCUUAGAGUUCUAGUCCUGAACUUUUUGAAAGUCUUCAUUGAGGCCAUGCUCUCUAGUUGCAUUCUCGAGCAAAGUGUCCAGCUCCAUUUCUAUUGGCCAUUCUUCUUUUUAUUCAACGACUUAUGGACUUUUAUAUUUGGAUACACUUUCACAUUUGAAGCUCAUCCAAUUUAUUUAUUUCUCAUGUCAAUUUCAUUGGCCAGAUUCCCUAGAAGUUCCUUACUUGUUUCCCUAUGUUUCCUCUUAAACAAGGUCUGAGAUGAUAUACAGUCUUCUCCACCUCUCCCUUCUCGCACAGGUAUUAUCCCAAGCACCUUCUAUUGUAUAAAAGUCUCUUUCAGCAAUCCAUCCAUAUAAAUUUGGACCAGGGGAAUUUCUAUUGGUUCCGUCAUUGUUUACUGUAGUGCAAGGCUUCGGAGGCCUUUCAAGAAGUCUAUUGCGCUAUUAAAACUAGUCCAAUCACUAUUAGAUAUUUACACUGCCAUCAAAAACUUGAAUCCUUUCCCAAACUUGACACAAAAAUAGGGUAUCAACACCACUAUCUUAUAAUUCUUCGUCCUUAUCAGUUCGCACCUAUCAAACUAAACUGUACAAUGCAGGAUCUUGUUUGAAGGAUCAGUUUCUAAUCGGUAAAAACUUCAUUCACAAAAUUAUUGCACUUUAUAUGUAUCUGUCAUGAUAGCCUGAUCAAUAAUACUAACUCCUACGUAUGAAAGUAGAUCCAUUGCACGCACCUUAUUCUUCCUACCCCAUUAAGACAUGUCAGACAGUGUUGUUUAUUCAUCUGCAUACAUGUGAUGACUAUUAAAAAAAAGGUGUGAAAAGUUAUGAUAUUUUAUCUUAACACAUUUAAAAUAGCUAAUGAAUCAAAAUCUCCAUCUGUUGGAACUAAUGAAUCAGCUGUUGGAAGAAAUCAAAAUAUCUCCUCCAACAUAUGGUCCAUCUAUCGCAACAGAUAAUCCAUAUGUUGUAACAGAUGGUAAUUUCUUGUGAUAGACCAGAUAUUAUUUAUUCAUCUGCACGCAUAUGAUGACUAUUAAAAAAGAGGUGAAGAGUCGUGACUUUUUAUCAGCACAUUCAAAACAGCUGAUGAACCGAAUUCUCCAUCUGUUGCAACUAAUGAAUUAGUUGUUAGAAGAAUUCAAAACAUCUCCUUCGGCAUAUGGUCCAUCUAUCGCAACAGAUAAUCUAUAUGUUGUAAAAUAUGUUGAAAUAGAUGGUAAAUCUAUUGCGAUAGACCAGAUAGUGUUUAUUCAUUUGCACGCAUGUGAUGACUUAUUAAAAAAGAGGUAGUCGUGAUAUUUUAUCUAACACAUUCAAAACAGCUGAUAAAUUGAAUUCUCCAUAUGUUGCAACUGAAGAAUAAGCUAUUAGAAGAAAUCAAAACUUCUCCAAAACAUGGUCCAUCUGUCGUAACAGAUAAUACAUAUGUUGCAACAGAUAUCUCAUCUAUUGCACAUACAAACCAUCUGUUGCAACAGAUGGUAAAUCUAUUUUGACAGACCAUCUGUUACACAUACAGACAAUCUAUUGCAACAGAUGGUAAAUCUAUUACGACAGAUGGACGAUCUGUUGCAAAAGCUCAAUAAUAAUAGUUGUUAUUAAGUCUCAAAAUCAUUGAAAAGGUGAGAAGUACUGAUGUAAAAGAAAAAGUCAUGACUUUUCACAAAAAAUAAAAUGCCACUAGUUUGAAUGUAAUUAAUACAAUGGAGCUUAACAGUCGUGUCUUUUGGCCUAACACAUCCAGAUUAAAUCCUCUAUAAAUAGGCCCCUCCUUAAUCUUCAUUCUACUAAACUUUAUUUAUUUUUUGCAUUAUUUCUUUUCGUGUGACAUCUUCAACCACUUCUCUUCAAAGAGUAUAUUCCUUUCUCUUUGAGGUAAGUUUUUUUUUGGGUGUAAAUCUACCAGUUGGUAGUAUACGUUGUAUUAUAUUUGGACUCUUUUUCUUUAAAUUGUCAAUUCAUAUAAGUUCUAGAUAUGGCUGAUCCUGUUUGGGAAAUUGCUAUUUUAUGUGACACAGUGCAUGAACUUCAGAGGUAGGUUAAUGACCUACAGAGAGAUUUGGUCACCGUGAGAGCAAAGAUGUUUAGAGAGAUGUAGAGGCUGAUGAGGGCCCUGCUGUUGCGAGUUGAUUGGUUGGCUGUCAUUAAUGAUGAUGAUGAUGAUAAUAAUAUUUAGAAUUAGAAUAUGUUUUUUCUUUUAGCGUAUGUAUUUUAAUUUUUCUAUAUUGGAUCUAUACCUAAUAUAUUUUAUUUUUCGUCUAAUGAAAAUUUUAUUUUUAGUUGACUUUGGCUUUUUAAUUCUUAUUCAAUUUAUAUUUUGUCUAUUUCUUCUAAACAUACAUAUUAAUGUUAAUAUAUCGACGGUUGGAGGUAAGGAGAAAUUUUGAAUCCAGUAGCAAUAGCAAUUUUGGCUUUUGAGUUCUUUCAAUAGAUGAACCAUGUGUUGGAACAUAUUGGCCAUCUGUUGGAUUUUUGUCAAUAGAUUAUCCAUCUGUUGCGACAUAUUUGUCAUAUGUUGAAGGAAAGCAUUCCAGUUUGAUGAUAUUGUGUUGUGUUCUUCCAGCUAAUGUUCAUCAGUUGCCACAGAUGGUUAAACUGUUGAGAAUAAUUGUGGUCUGCUAUAUUAUUUAGUUCAUGUUUUGCCUCUUUUUAUUGAUGCACAAGUUAUUUAAAAAGAUAUUUAUAUAUAAUAAAUGAUAACACUACGUUCAUAACAAUGAGUUAAAUAUAUAAAAGUCCACAACAAACAACAACAUAAGUUUCUACAAUUACAACGAUCAUGAUGGAUUACGAUCCGGGCAUGUAGCUCUUAUGUGGCCAGCGCGCUUACAUACGGAGCACUUGUUUCUUCUUGAUGAAAAUGACUCUCCGACUCCAUGCCUUCUCUUAUAUGGCUUUCUUCUCUAUUUGAUAGUUCUUGAGUCAAUAUAUGAAGGAGGUAUUAAUCUCCCCAAAAUCUCUGCAGGAAUAACCUAAGUUUCUUCUAGAGGCACCGAAGUAUGCCCACUAUAUAUCAUUUCAUGUUCUUCCACCAAAUAAUAUUGAGAGGAGUGCUCGUGAACUCUAGGUCCAUAUGUUGGACCGUAUUGAGCUCGAAGCGCUGUCAUGGCAUGUGGACAGGGUAUUUUGUCCAAGUCAAAAACUCUAGACUGUGAAAACAUCACCAUGACCAGUGAUACUGAAUUUGUAAUCUUCUAUUUUAUGAGAUAAUAAUCUAUUCUCCAAAUUGAUGUUUGUUGAUAUUAUUUUUUUAUUUUGAGAAUAAAUCGGGUUCUUUUUGGGCCCUUGAACUGCACACGCCUUUCAUUAAAAAAUCGUUCAUACUUCUUAUUUAUUACUUCAAACAUAGCCUUGAUGGGAAAUUCUCUUUCAUCGUCAAACAAUGAAUUCACCAACUCAGAAUGCCCGGCUCCAUCUCUCAAAAUCGACAUGUACGAGAAGUUCUGCUACCUUGGGAUUCACAUCCGUUAUUUGAUUGAAAUGGUCUAAAAACUCCUCUCUACUAUACGUUUUAGCUACUUUAUAAAAAAGGGUUAUGACCCUUUCGUUGUGAUAGUUGGUCCGAUUGUUCUCUCUAAGAUGCCUGAUGCAACAACAAAAGUAAGCUAAAGUGAAGAAAAUUGAACACAUCUUUGGAAUACUUGGACGCCUACCCAAAACAAAACACAACUCUUAGGUAUCUCCGACGCAUCUUCGCAGUUGUUCAAAAAAAAUCCAUAAGAGGCAUCACAUUCCUUGUCCGCUACACAAAAACGACAGGAAAGAUGUGAUUUCACAUCUUGCGCCUCCGCCGCUAGUAGAACUCCAUUAUACUUGCUCCUCAAGAAGGUACUAUUGAUGGCUAUGCCUUUUUACAAAUGUCGAAAACCUUGAAUUCAAGCACCAUAGGAUACAAAAAAGUACUUGAACCUUCCGUUUUCAUCAACAUGUAAUGUCGUCUUACUUCUGGGAUUUGUGGAUUCAAUCAUGUAAUGGUAGGCCACCAGGACUGCAUACCCAUGCUCGUGUGUCCCCCUAACCAAUUCCUUGGCAAUCCCCAUAACCGUAUAUAUCUUUCAAUAACUGACCAAGACACUCAAUUUCGUAAGGAUUUGAUUGGACAUAACCCUUGUUGAAGGGCCUUUUCCAUCGAGGAAACUAACUCUUGAAAUAUUCACCAAGGACCUUUGCCGUGGCGUGAGGAUUUUGGCCUGAGAUGUGCUACAAACCACAUGUGUGAUGCUUUUCAUGUUUAUGAAUGAUGAAUCUGUCAGAACUUAUGUACUUCACCGCUCUCAACCACCACUUGCAGUUCAGAUUAGCACAUUUGAGGCAAAAGACACUGCUCGAAUUAAUCACCUUCUUUAUUCUGAAAUCUUAUUUCAAGCAAGAAAUAAACAAAGUGGUAGAUAGUUCAUUCUUGUCCUUGAAUGACAUUUCGAUAAAAAAUCUGAUCCCAUCGUCUUAAAGAUUUCCAGAUUGUGUUAAUUGAGAAGAACUACCCAUCGUAUUGGUCGCAUCAAUGGGUGUAGGUGUUUGAUCAUCAUCUGAAAUGUCAUGUCUAGAUCAUCCAACCUAUCAUCAAAGAUGUCUUGUUCUUCUUCUUCUUCUACGUUCUGGUUCUCAUUCUCUCUCGUCUUUUCAACCACUUACACCCUUAACACUGGCCUGGAUGAAUCACUAAGAUAAGCACGCGACCGAACCUGAUCAAUUAUCUUGAAGGAAAGUACCCUCUGAUUUUUAAAGGAGUUGUACAUAUCGCUGAUGACGAGUUCUUUCUAUUGACAGUUCAGUCCAUAAUAACUGAUGAUUAAGUUCACAAAAUCAUCAUACGAAACAUCACUUUAGACUGUCAUAGCUAUCGUCUCUAGCAUUUCACCCUCGUUCCAAUGUUAUACAUAUCGAUUGCUCUUCUCGAUCCAUUGACUAUGACAAUCCACCCCUAUUGUUAUUCAUCCCUCCAUUAGUGGUACCUAAAUAAAUUCAUUUGUUAAAAAAAGUUAAUAGUGAUUUCAUAGUGCCGUAAAUGAAUAUCAAAAGUUGUGUAAUCAGUCGCAACAGAUUACUUACCUGUUGGAAUUCAUGUUACGUUCCUAAAACUGAUUUCAACAGACGAGUCAUCUGUUGUAACAGGUAAAUCAUAUGUUGCAACAGAUGAAGCGCCUGUUGGGAUUGAUGUUACAGUACUGAGGCACCUUUGAAGCUGAUUCCAACAGAUGAGUGAUAUGUUGCAACAGAUAAUUAACCUGUUGCGAUAGAUGACUUACCUGUUGCAACAAACGAUGAUCUGUUGGAAUCGAGGUCAGGUUCUAUCGCAACAGGUUACAUAUGUUGCAAUAGAUAUUUACCGUCUGUUGGAAUAGAGUUCAGGUUCUGUUGCAACAGGUUAAUAAUUUGUUACGAUAGAUAUUUACCCUAUUGCAACAGACAACACGUCUGUUGGAAUGAGUUCAGAUUCUGUUGCAACAGGUUACUAAUCUAUUACAUUAUAUUUAUCAUGUUGCACCAGAUAACUAACAUGUUGCAACAAAUGGGUCAUAUGUUGCAAUAGAUGACCCAUCUGUUCGAUUCAUGUUACGGCACUAUAGAAUCAUAAACAUGAAUCCAAAAUAUGAGUCUUCCUUUGAAACAGAUGUGUUUAAACAGAUGGCUCUUAUGUUGUAUUCAUGUUCGCAUGCUAUCUAAAAAACAGCACAAUAGCAGUUACCCAGAUGACAAAUUCAACUAAAAAUUAUAAUUUGACUUACCAAAGUCUCCUAUGAAGUAAUGCCAAAGUGGAAAGUGAUGUACGAAAUAAAAUUUGAUCUAAGAAAUUGGUCAAAUAGCAAUAGUAGCGGUAACAACAACAACAGCGACAAUGAUCAACAAGAAGAAGAUGAAGAUGAUAAUGAAGUAGAAGAUGAUGAUAAUGAAGCAGAAGAUGAUGAAUAAAAUAGCAGCAACAAUGAACAACAAAAAUCACUAAGAGAGAGAAAACAACGAUGGAUGAAAGAGAGAGAUAAAGGUGCUUUUUCCCUCUGUUUUCCAUUAUAUUAGGUAAAUAUUUGGAUCAAAGUGUAAAUUUAAAAACUUUUGGGUUAUUCUCAAACUUAUCAAACUUUCUUAAUCCAUAAUAAAGUAAUUGUCACCUCCACUCAAUUAUGAAAACUUUUGUCACCUACACCUCAUUUUAAAGCUUUUUUGUCACCUACAGCUCAAAGCCCCAUGUUGCUAGGAUUGUGGAAUGAAUAAUAAUUUUUGAAACCAAAUAAUAUAAUUUCAUUAUUAUCUAAAUCAUGAUUAAAGAUUUUCUUUGAAUAAUUAAAUCUUAACCAUUAAAUUUAACAUUUGUCAUAUGUCAUAUUGAAGAGUGGGAAAUGGAGAGCAGCCGGAUCCAAAUUAAACAACUACAAAUUAGGAGAUAGACGAGUAUUAUUUUGCCUAGUCUAAACAAAAACUAAAGCGUCAGGGCUUGAAUGACAAAUUCCCAAUCACCAAUGAGGAGAGUUAAAAAUUGAGAGCACGAGUGAACUAGAGUUGGCAGGAGAUUGAGAGAGAAUUGUGGAUUUGUGAUGAGAAAAUUGAAAAGAUUGGGGGGAAACUAAAACAGAAAAUUAAAUACUGUAUAUUGUUGCUAAAAUUUACAAACAAUAAAAAUUAGUGCAGAAACACUAUACUUAGUCGACGCAUCAUGCCUACUUUAUGCUUUGUCUUGCUUAGAAGGCUACUAACUAUAUCAAGGUGACUGGUGUCCAAACAUAUAGCCCUCGGCAUACAAAACAGAUAUGCUGACCAGAUCGUGCUACACCUCUUCUUCUCGUUUCAUCAACACCAGUAGAGAAUGAAUGGUCCAAGUUCACCCUACAUUAGACUGGCACAGUUCGGUCCAUCUUUCUUGACUCGAGACCUCUUUCACCAAGGACUAAUUCAAAUGUCAUUACACAGGUGAGUAGUCCUCUAUUAUGCCGAGGAAUAUAAUAUAAGAAUAUAAGACUUUUAAGAGAUUCAUUUGGAACCGGACGAGAGUUGCGUGUUAAGAGAACAGAAGCUUCAAUAAUUCCAAUUGCUCGAUGUCACUUUCUCACUCAAUAAGAGAAUUACAGUGCUAUACUUUGUCAGCUGUUGAAUCAGGAACAGAUGCGAAAGAUGUAAGAAAUUCAAUGAGUUGCUGUCCCUCCAUAGCCAUGACUUUAGAUGGAUACAACUAUCAAUAAUUGUUCUUCAAUUUUUCAAUUACAAGUAAAUUCACCAUCUGAAGCUUUUGGGAGGAUGAACUGGUUUUAUUCAAUCAAAAAAAUAGAUUAUGUACAAAACGCCCAACAACCCAGGUUCCCACUACACUAAGUGAUGUAUUUGAUCCUUUUCCAUUAUAUUAGGUAAAUAUUUGGAUCAAAGUGUAAAUUUAAAAACUUUUGGGUUAUUCUCAAACUUAUCAAACUUUCUUAAUCCAUAAUAAAGUAAUUGUCACCUCCACUCAAUUAUGAAAACUUUUGUCACCUACACCUCAUUUUAAAGCUUUUUUGUCACCUACAGCUCAAAGCCCCAUGUUGCUAGGAUUGUGGAAUGAAUAAUAAUUUUUGAAACCAAAUAAUAUAAUUUCAUUAUUAUCUAAAUCAUGAUUAAAGAUUUUCUUUGAAUAAUUAAAUCUUAACCAUUAAAUUUAACAUUUGUCAUAUGUCAUAUUGAAGAGUGGGAAAUGGAGAGCAGCCGGAUCCAAAUUAAACAACUACAAAUUAGGAGAUAGACGAGUAUUAUUUUGCCUAGUCUAAACAAAAACUAAAGCGUCAGGGCUUGAAUGACAAAUUCCCAAUCACCAAUGAGGAGAGUUAAAAAUUGAGAGCACGAGUGAACUAGAGUUGGCAGGAGAUUGAGAGAGAAUUGUGGAUUUGUGAUGAGAAAAUUGAAAAGAUUGGGGGGAAACUAAAACAGAAAAUUAAAUACUGUAUAUUGUUGCUAAAAUUUACAAACAAUAAAAAUUAGUGCAGAAACACUAUACUUAGUCGACGCAUCAUGCCUACUUUAUGCUUUGUCUUGCUUAGAAGGCUACUAACUAUAUCAAGGUGACUGGUGUCCAAACAUAUAGCCCUCGGCAUACAAAACAGAUAUGCUGACCAGAUCGUGCUACACCUCUUCUUCUCGUUUCAUCAACACCAGUAGAGAAUGAAUGGUCCAAGUUCACCCUACAUUAGACUGGCACAGUUCGGUCCAU